rnacentral:lncRNA from 1 species
UAACCAACGUUGUUUCCUGCAGGUAAGACCUGGAAUCAAAAACUUUUGAUAUAAAACUCGUCGGAGAAGUUGAAAAUAGCCAUUUGAUGUUGUUCAGAUCCUCUGUCAUCGUCUCUGUCAACCUCUCCAUAACCAUCUAAUGUCAUCAUCGUACACCGGGAAACCAAAUUCUUGUUACCAAGACAUUUUCCUUCUAUCUCUCCCCCUCUCUAAAACAGUAUCUCUUUCUGCCUCUGUCUCUGCCUCUGUGUCUCUCUAAAUGUAGGAUGAAGGGUGAUAUAGUGUUUUAAAUGGAGGGUGCUAUAUAAGUACAAUGAAUUUCAAGUUCUCAUUACAAGAAAACCCCAUCACUACCAUGUUUCUGGUAGUGGCACGAUCUUAUUAUCAAAUGUUGUAGGUGUUGACAUUGCCGAAAGGGAAAUGAUGUCCCCUUUCUCUGGCCGCUCACUCUCUAUUUUAACCAAGAUGAACCUUAGGUUUAUAGGUUAAACACUUAAAAGAAACGUUAUUCGUGGCAAAAAUGAAAAGCUGGCCCUUGAUGUGUAAAUGUUAAAAAAAACGUGGCAGAAGGUAAAGCCUCAAGCCUUUUACAUCUAAUGGUAACCGCUAGAUCAAUAUUGGACAUCCAUAUUUUUAAAAUAGUAUUCAUUUAACUUUGAUUAUUAAUAGAUAGAGAUUGCAUUGUACCACUUGAGCAACUUGCUUGAGCAAUAUUUCUAAUAAAUCGCCCUUUUUCAAAAAAAUAAAAAAAAAAGUAAGUGAUUUUUGGGUGGUGCUCCUUCGUUGUAAUUAAAGUAAAUCAUUUUCGAAUGGUGGGGUGGUCCUUUGUUGCCGACAAGAAUUAGAAUUGAAUGGAAUAUCACACCUUCCAUUUGUGCUUGAUUCAACGAUCUAAAAAGUGACCGGAUCACGAAUGGGGUUGUGGUUCAUUGGAACACAAGUGAGUGGCGUUUCAAUUAUUCAAGAUAGGUUGAAGAUGAAUACAAAUAUGAAAUCGUAAAGUUACAAGACAUUCACAUUCAAUACUCAUUGUUAUCUCUCUGGAAUAUAUUCGGGUGGAAGCUCCUUAACUUAAACUUAGGUGCUACCGUAGCAGCAGCAGCAGGAGCAGCUACUUCAUUUGAAUCAGAAAUCAGAUUUUCAUCUAACGGCCUCACAGUUCCAAUAGACGGUGGUUGAGAAGAAGCAUAAUGGUAAUGAUCGCCUGCACCGGAAACUUGUGAAUUCUCUAACGGCCUCACAGCUCCAGUAGACAGUGGUUGAGCAGAAGCAGAAGCAUCGUACUCGCCGCCGAUGCCGGAGACUUGAGAAGUAUUUAACGGUCUCACAUCCCGAGUUGACAGUGGUACUUCAUCAUCAUCUGCAUAGUCAUCGAUGCCACCGGAAAUUUGAGAAAUUUCCAAGGGUCUCACAGCUGUCAAAGACGGUGGUUCGUCAUUACUUAUGCUCCCGUCAGACGGUUGUUGAUCGGGAUUCAUUUUCUUGUUGGGUUGGGUCUUGAAAUUUUAAAUAGGGGUCGUGAUUUAUUUAUAUGAAAAUGAAGCAUCAUUUUAU